UUUAUGGAGAGUUUGAUCCUGGCUCAGGAUGAACGCUGGCGGCGUGCCUAAUACAUGCAAGUCGAGCGAACGGACGAGAAGCUUGCUUCUCUGAUGUUAGCGGCGGACGGGUGAGUAACACGUGGAUAACCUACCUAUAAGACUGGGAUAACUUUGGGAAACCG
rnacentral:rRNA from 1 species